ensembl:lncRNA
GAAGAAACUGCAGAGAAGGAAAUGAGGAAAUCAAGAACACUGAAGCAAGUCGAACAAUCACCAUAAUUUAUUUACAAUAUAUUAAACCAUAAUGGAAAAAUUAUUACUUAUAACAAGUGGCCAUUUAUUCAAUAAGGAAAAUAAACAGGAGUUAUUUUUAAAGCUAUGAUGAAUUAUACAGACUUAUAUAUUCAUAUUAAUGUGUACAGCCAGCAGUGUUAUGUAUCUUUUCGUCAUGUGUUUGUAUGGAGCCAGAAACAUGAUAAAACACACACUCUUUAUAAUAAAAUUAAUAAUGACUGCAUAGAAACAAGGAUGAAAUCACUGACCUACGAGAGUCCAUAAAAACCAUGUGAAACAAAUGCUGGCUCCCUUCAAAAUAAAAUAAAAGCAGCGAGUCCUCUCCAAUGCUUUAUGUAAAACUGUGUGCAUUUGGCAACUUUGCUCAGUUCAUUAACGCAAGUCCAUAAAUACUAUAAUGAAAGCAAAAUAAUAGCAACAACAGAAGGAGGUUUGUUAAGUGCAGCGCUAUCUAAAAUGUCAAAGGUAAGGCUGACAAUACUGCAGAAUCCGACUUGGGACAUACUUACUUACUUAAGGAACGAAGGAAAUGAGGGAAUACGGAAAGAAGGUAGUAAGUAAGCAAGGGUGUAAGGAGAUAAGGAAGGAAGCGAGGAAAGAAAGAUGGAUUCACAGCAUCAGUUCUAUUCAUGUGCUCAUGCCACGUGUGUGUUGUUUAGCUGUAUAAUAUCAAUAUAAAAGCCAUUCACAGCUGUUAAUGACGAUGAAUUUUCCAGUAUUUGACCACUGUGACAAUAAAGAAAAUAGGUAAGGUAAUCGUCACCAAACUUAGGAUCAAGUACAUUCCCUUUGGAAAACAAGAAUGUAUGCCAGGAGCAAGAAACACAGUAAGCAUAAGAACAAUGCGAAAAAGGAAGGAGAUGACAGCUGAGCCAAAAAUUUCCAACAUGAGCACAGUACUGUCAGGUGAAUGAUGUGUGAUAUCCCAAAACACAUUAAAUCACAGUGAGGAUGGAGGAGAAACAGGGGCUGCAGCCUUCUUCAGCACGAAAAAAUGAAUUCACUGCACUGCAAGAUCGCUGAGGAAAGACAGCUCAGGGUCUCAGGACGCAGUGAGAGUGUGAGAGAGAGAGAGGGAAAGAGAGAGAGUUUGCUCAUACCUGCAGGAAGCUGAGCUUAAAUUGAUGACACUACUUCCUCGACUCCCACUCUCCACUGAUUUAAAGUAAUGGAAAAAAACCCACUUCCCCUCAAAUCUAUGUACACACUUGCGACAAAGGCUUUUUUGGUAGAACAGUAUUUCUUUCCAUUUUCCUAUUUUUAAUGAAGUGCAAACAGGACAAAUCUCCCCACUUUAUUCUAGCAAGCUAAUGCCGGAUUUCUUUAGCUCAGCUCAACGUGGGCCGGCAGCUAGCAGCACCACUGGCCGAGCAGGGCAGAAACCAGGAGGAAUGCUGCAGUACACUCUGGGGAAGCAAUUGGGGGGGCAACACAAAGCAGGUCCAACAACAACAACAAAAAACUUCCAGUGUAGUGCGUCUUUGAUACUCAAUGGCAUAAGUAUCUAUAACACAAUGCACGAAAGUAGAAGUAACAUCACCAAAAGUGAGAGCUCUGUGUGUGUGUGUGUGUGUGUGUGUGUGUGUUAUACAGAUGGAUGAUGGUGUUCUAAAGUACUUCUCCUAAAUAGAGAUCCUCUCAUUUGCAUCCAAAAUAGAUGCCAAUGUUAGAAUGUGUGUGUGUGAGAGAGUGUGUGUGAGAGUGUGUGUGUGAGUGAGAGAGAGAGAGAGAGUUUGUGUAUUUGCUUUUUUUGUGAGUGUAUAGAAGUGUAACAUCUCCGGCUUGCCCCUGUAAUUCAGGUAGCUGUCCCAGGUGUAUUAGCAGCGGUAGGAGCUUCGGGCUGUGCGCUUUUCUUCCUUCUCCUCCUCCUCUUCUUCCUCGUCGGAUCUGUUGAGGCAGAAGCGUCUUCGGCCAGAGGGGGGCUG